GACGAACGCUGGCGGCGUGCCUAAUACAUGCAAGUAGAACGCUGAAGGAGGAGCUUGCUUCUCUGGAUGAGUUGCGAACGGGUGAGUAACGCGUAGGUAACCUGCCUGGUAGCGGGGGAUAACUAUUGGAAACGAUAGCUAAUACCGCAUAAGAGUAGAUGUUGCAUGACAUUUGCUUAAAAGGUGCAAUUGCAUCACUACCAGAUGGACCUGCGUUGUAUUAGCUAGUUGGUGAGGUAACGGCUCACCAAGGCAACGAUACAUAGCCGACCUGAGAGGGUGAUCGGCCACACUGAGACUGAGACACGGCCCAGACUCCUACGGGAGGCAGCAGUAGGGAAUCUUCGGCAAUGGACGGAAGUCUGACCGAGCAACGCCGCGUGAGUGAAGAAGGUUUUCGGAUCGUAAAGCUCUGUUGUAAGAGAAGAACGAGUGUGAGAGUGGAAAGUUCACACUGUGACGGUAUCUUACCAGAAAGGGACGGCUAACUACGUG
rnacentral:rRNA from 1 species